rnacentral:rRNA from 1 species
GAGACAGCAGCAGCCGCGGUAAUACGUAGGGUGCAAGCGUUAAUCGGAAUUACUGGGCGUAAAGCGUGCGCAGGCGGUUAUAUAAGACAGAUGUGAAAUCCCCGGGCUCAACCUGGGAACUGCAUUUGUGACUGUAUAGCUAGAGUACGGCAGAGGGGGAUGGAAUUCCGCGUGUAGCAGUGAAAUGCGUAGAUAUGCGGAGGAACACCGAUGGCGAAGGCAAUCCCCUGGGCCUGUACUGACGCUCAUGCACGAAAGCGUGGGGAGCAAACAGGAUUAGAGACCCCUGUAGUCCCUGUCUCUUAUAC